UGGGGAAUUUUGGACAAUGGGCGCAAGCCUGAUCCAGCCAUGCCGCGUGCAGGAUGAAGCAUCUAUGGUGUGUAAACUGCUUUUGUACGGGAAGAAACCACCCCUCGUGAGGGGUAUUGACGGUACCGUAAGAAUAAGGAUCGGCUAACUCCGUGCCAGCAGCCGCGGUAAUACGGAGGAUCCGAGCGUUAUCCGGAAUCAUUGGGUUUAAAGGGUCCGUAGGCGGUUUAAUAAGUCAGUGGUGAAAGCCCAUCGCUCAACGAUGGAACGGCCAUUGAUACUGUUAGACCUGAAUUACAAGGAAGUAACUAGAAUAUGUAGUGUAGCGGUGAAAUGCUUAGAUAUUACAUGGAAUACCAAUGGCGAAGGCAGGUUACUACUUGUGGAUUGACGCUGAUGGACGAAAGCGUGGGGAGCGAACA
rnacentral:rRNA from 1 species